rnacentral:rRNA from 1 species
UGAGGAAUAUUGGUCAAUGGGCGAGAGCCUGAACCAGCCAAGUAGCGUGCAGGAUGACGGCCCUAUGGGUUGUAAACUGCUUUUAUGUGGGGAUAAAGUGCGUGACGUGUCAUGCAUUGCAGGUACCACAUGAAUAAGGACCGGCUAAUUCCGUGCCAGCAGCCGCGGUAAUACGGAAGGUCCGGGCGUUAUCCGGAUUUAUUGGGUUUAAAGGGAGCGUAGGCUGUCUAUUAAGCGUGUUGUGAAAUAUACCGGCUCAACCGGUGGCUUGCAGCGCGAACUGGUCGAAUUGAGUAUGCAGGAAGUAGGCGGAAUUCAUGGGGUAGCGGUGAAAUGCUUAGAUAUCAUGACGAACUCCGAUUGCGCAGGCAGCUUACUGUAGCAUAACUGACGCUGAUGCUCGAAAGUGCGGGUAUCAAACAGG